GACGAACGCUGGCGGCGUGCUUAACACAUGCAAGUCGGACGAGGACGAGGAGCUUGCUCUUCGAUCCGAGUGGCGAACGGGUGAGUAACACGUGACCAACCUGUCCUAGGGUGAGGGACAACCUGGGGAAACCCGGGCUAAUACCGCAUGAUGUCUCGAGGUCGCAAUGGCUUUGAGAUCAAAGAGGGCCUCUGCUUGCAAGCUCUCGCCCAGGGGAGGGGGUCGCGGCGUAUCAGCUAGUUGGUAGGUAACGGCCUACCAAGGCUACGACGCGUAGCGGGUCUGAGAGGACGA
rnacentral:rRNA from 1 species